rnacentral:lncRNA from 1 species
UCCGGAAUACUAUUGUGUCUGGAUCUGCAACUUUGACGACGCCAAAGUCAUUGAUUGAAUAUGCAUUUGCUCAAAACUAAUAUUUCAACCUGAAUCAAAUAAACACCGCACUAAGACGAGAAAUAAAAAAUAUACCGCACAAAGAUGAAAAAUGAAAACUAACAAAGACAUACAAAAACGAUGAAAUCACAAAAACAAACGAAAGAAAACUAAAAUUACAUGGAAAUCACUCAUUUAACUAAAAAAGAACGAUAAACAAUUGAGGGAGAUGAUUUUGAAUUAAAAUUAACCUUAAAUCACCUAUAUAUAAAUAAGAAGAGGAAAGGUGGUGACGGCGAGGGUUUUUGAUGUUGUUUCUUUUUGGUAUCAUAUCACUCUUCUAUCUUAUUAUGAUAAGUUUUUCAUUCUAUCUUGCAUACCAAAAGUUUUAAGUGUUUUAAAAAUUCUCCCUAAAAAAAUAAAAGUGUUACAGAAAUUCAAAGAUACAAUCAAUUGUUGUUUUUGAACCGUGUCGUUAAAAUAUAUUGUUAUAUUUUUGUAUUAAAAAGGAACAAUUGUAAAUAAUUAAUAAUUAAAUUAAGACUAGUUUAAUAGUACAAAUACACAUCAAUUAGUGGUGCAAAAUUAACAUUUGAGAUGUCGUAUAUGCUAUUAAUUAAUUAAAUAAAGAUAAAACUUUUUAAGAAUGUAUAUUAGUAGUGGUGCGGGUUAUGCCUAUAUGUUAUAUCCAUUGGGUCAGAAGGGUUCCCUAACUACAUGCCUCAACCUCUCCUAUUAUGCCGUGUGUACAUGUCUAUUAAAAUGCUUUGUGGGGUUGCCUUUCUUUUUCAUCACAUUCCUGCUAUGUCAGUUUUGAUGCUUGCUUUUAAAUACCUACAAUACCGUAAAAAGAAACAUUUCUUCGUAGGUCUUAUUCCACUAACAAGCUGCUGAAAAUACAAGUCAAUACAUUAAAUAAGAGGGUAACUAUUCAUUUUAAUCCUAAUCAAAUGCUUAAAGCAUUGUCUUUAUAAUCCUUAAAUAUAUUAUAAUCAUAAAAAGAUAGAUCCAUCUUUUUCCCCUAAAAAAAUCAUUCUUUUUGAAAGUUUGGUCUUCCAAUUAUUAAAUAUUGUCUUUCAAUAAUCAAUUUAAUCUUCCAAUAAAUUUUUACCUAGUUAAUCCGGAUAUAUUAGGAACGUUGUAACGACACUCCUUCACGAAUUUAAAAAGAAAUGAGAAUUGGUCUAAGAGAAAUGUUAACCGCUUAUCUUAACUUAAGAACAGGAGUUAAAAAAAACCAAUAUAGCAUCAUUCUUUUAAAAAGAUUGUACUCAACUAUUUUAAAGUUAAAAAAAAAAAAACUCAACUUUUUAAUUUUGUUAACUAGUAUCUUUAGGUAUUUGUUAACAUCACGUUUAAUCUAAAACCAUAUACAUUAAUGGAAGCAUUGAAAAAACACAUUGUUAUCUUGUAUGUAUCAGAUUUUACGACAAGGCAAGGGCAUGCAUUAUUUUUUGAGCAACAAACCAAGCUAAGUUUUGAGUUUUGAGCAAGAUCUAUCUAUCUAGCUAUGAAUUUCAAAAUCCUAGCUACAGCUUUCAACCUUCAACUUCCAAGAACAAAAUUUUGUUAUCAUUUUCACUCUUUGAGGAAACUUGUGUACAGGGUGGUUCCUUAGGAUGCAGUUAGUUUUGUGGAUUUACCUUAGAUUUCAAACUUUCAAAUUUCAAUACACCCUUUUUGGGAUUCCUCUCACAUCAUGAUCUAAUUAGUUUUUUAUUGCAACAAAUUAAUAUUGGAAAAAUUUGGAAGCUAUAGCUAGUGAGAUGAAACAAAAGAAAAGAAAGUCAAGUCACUAAAAAUGUCUCAGCCUCUCUCUCCUCAUUAAAGAAAGAACAAAAAGAAACAGGCUCUUGAUAAAUUGAAAGAAAGAGAGAGAAUCUAAUGUGAUAGUGACUUGACAUACAAGCUUAGAUAUUGACAUUUCAUCACAGGCUGUGUUUGUGUUAGGGGGGUGACGAAAUGAAGAAGAUCGAGUUGGAUUAAAUUGAGUUAAAGGGCUACAAAGUAAAGUUAUUUAUGAAGGGAGAGAGUGUAACAAAAAUAUAGAGCCAAUUAUAGGCAUGAAAAUGCAUGGCAUGAGAAUAGUGAAAUGAAAGAGUAUUUAAAAUUAACAAUUGCAAUAGCCAAACAUGAUGGCAGAGUGGGAGGCACAGCACAAAAGGGUGCAGAGGGCCACAACAGCUAGACUUGAAAAAGAAGAGUAGCCAUCAGGAGGAGGAGGAGGUGCAGAGCAGAAGAAAGACAGUGACUUUCUUUUCGACUUCUUCCUCUUCCCCUUGCUUGCUUCUGCCUUGAUGCUCUCAAUUUUGUUUUGGAUUUUGGAGUAACGUUUUUAAGGAGACCUUUGUAUACUCUUUUGAUUUUUAUAUUAGUUAUAUUAGAUUUUGGUCUACUCUCUCUAAGUUGUUUCAUCAUUUUCUUUUAUUUUAAUGGCUAAAUAUUCACCACAUGGUAUUUAUUCUUUAAAAAAAAUAGAUGCAUGUUUGGAGAUUCUCAAAUUGAAAUACCACGAUCAUUUUUCUUGAUAGAGCAAUGGGUUUUUCAUUAAAUCGAAGGAGGUGUGGCUGUGGCGUUUAUUUAAAAUCUACCAUAUAUAAUUUUCAAAAACAAUUACUCAAUCUCUCAAAUAAAAAAUUAUUCAAAACAACUUCUUCUUAUUUUAUGUAGUUUUAAAACAAAUCUCUUUUUUUUUUC